CGCAGAGAAGAAAUAUUUGAAGAAAAUCCUAAAAUCCUUUUUACUUAAAAAAUUUAAUCUUCCAUAACUUUAGAUCCGUAGCUUCGAUCGCUGCACCGUUUGCAGUCACGCAUUCAUCUCGUUGAGCUCUUCGAUUCUAACUAAACAAAGUAUAUUCAUUUGAGUGAAUUAUAUGAACUAGCUUGAGUUUAUGUUGAAUUGGAGUUGAAUUGACAAAUUGGAGCUCUUGAGAGAAAGCUUUGGUGGCUGGAAUUUUUGCUUGAGUUAAUUUGGGAUCUUGGAAGCUUGUUUCAUGGCGUUUUGAGUUUAGAGAGGAAUCAACCAAGAUGCAGGACGUGAGGCACCUUACUGAGCGUGUUGGAUUUGCCUUUUUGCCAAAGUGAAAACUUAUCUUUUGGGCCUUUUCAUAUUAUGUACUUAGUUAUAUAUGUAUUUUCUUUUUUUUUUGUUUAAAAAAACUCGUAUUUGUCCCUGUUAGAGGUUGACUUUGGAGAAUUAGGAUUUAUAUUUUGUCUUUUCGUAUGUCUGUUGGG